AAAAAAAAAAAACAAAAAACAGUUUUCUUCAAAGAAAAUAAAGCAGUCGAUAUUUGCAGCUGACUGCCUGCAUGCAGGAUCCCCAACCAGGGAUCAAACUCGUGCCCCCUGCAGUGGAAGUGGGGAGUCUUAACCGCUGUACCGCCAGUGAUUCAUAUUGCUUUAGAAUCUGUGGCAUUUGUGUGUCUAUGGCCCUGUAUUAUUUGUCAGGCUGACAAUGCCUUGCCACCAGACUGCAAGUUCCAUGCAGGCAAGGACCACGUCUGUCUCUCUGCCUGUGUAGUCCUCCUACACAGAAUCAGCCAUGGACAUUAGCUGAAUGAAUGAGAAAUGGGAUUGGAGCCACAGGAUAAGAGGCAAGAUGAAAACACAAGCGAAGUUCUGUUCUCCUGAGUUUCUCAACUGAACAUAUUUUUACAGAUCCAUAAAAGCAAUAAUCUCUAUCUCUGUGAAACCCUAUCUCCGGGACUUCCCUGGUGGCACAGUGGUUGAGAAUCCACGUGCCAAUGCAGGGAACACGGGUUCGAGCCCUGGUCCAGGACGGUACCCCAUGCUGCGGAGCAGCUAAGCCCGUGCGCCACAACUACUGAGCCUGCGCUCUAGAGCCCGUGAGCCACAACUACUGAGCCCCCGCCUGCCACAACCACUGAAGCCCAUGUGCCUAGAGCCCGUGCUCCACAACAAAGACAAGCCACCGCUAUGAGAAGCCCACGCACCGCAACGAAGAGUAGCAUCCGCUCACCGCAACUAGAGAAAGCCCGCGCGCAGCAACAAAGACCCAAUGAAGCCAAAAAUAAAAUAAAUAAACGUGUAAAUGUAUAAAUAAAUAAAUAAAUAAUAAUACUUAAAAAAAAACCACAACCCUAUCUCCAU